GACGAACGCUGGCGGCGUGCUUAACACAUGCGGGUCGAACGGUGAAGCGCGUACCUUGUUGGUGGGUGGGGAGGAGUGGCGAAGGGGGGAGUAACACGAGAGUAACCUGCCCCGUCCUGGAGGAUAACGGGAAGAAGGAGCGGAUAAUAGGGGAUAUUCUGGGCCGGUCGGAUGAUGGGUGUGGGAAAGAUAUGGUGUCGGUGGGGGAUGGGCUCGCGGCGUAUCAGCUUGUUGGUGGGGUGAGGGCCUACCAAGGCGGUGACGGGUAGCCGGCCUGAGAGGGUCGGCGGUCACGCUGGGGCUACGACACCGCCCAUCCUCCUACGGGAGGCAGCAGUGGAGAAUACUGCACAAUGGGCGCCAUGCUGAUGCAGCGACGCCUCGUGAGUGAUGGUGUCCUUCUGGUUGUGAACCUCUUUCGCCAGUGAAGCAGUCCUUCCUCGUUUGUGGGUGGGUUGACGGUACCUGGAUAAGAAGCGCCGGCUAACUACGUG
rnacentral:rRNA from 1 species